rnacentral:rRNA from 1 species
GUCUUUAUGUAUGAAGUAUAAAGUCUGGCCUGCCCACUGAUUUUUUUAAAGGGCCGCGGUAAAUUGACCGUGCGAAGGUAGCAUAAUCAAUAGUCUUUUAAUUGGAGGCUGGAAUGAAUGGUCGGACGGGGAUAGUCUGUCUUGUUUUUAAUAAUUGAACUUUACUUUUAAGUGAAAAGGCUUAAAUAUUUAAGUGGGACGAUAAGACCCUAUAAAACUUUAUGUGUAAAAUUUGUAUGUAAAGUAUUUAUUAACAUUAAUAAGUUUUAUUACAUUGUGUUGGGGCGACAGAGAUAUAAUAAGAUAACUGUCUUUAAGAAGAAAUAACAUAAUUAUUUUUAAAUUGAUCCUUAACUUAGGAUUAAAAGUUUAAGUUACUUUAGGGAUAACAGCGUAAUUUUUUCUGAGAGUUCUUUUCGAAGAAAGUAGUUGCGACCUCGAUGUUGAAUUAAGAUGUUAUCAAGGUGCAGAAGCUUUGAUUGUAGGUCUGUUCGACCUUUAAAAUCUUACAUGAUUUGAGUUCAAACCGGUGUGAG